rnacentral:rRNA from 1 species
UAUCUAACCUUUUGGAAGAAGUCGUCGAAGGUGGAAUCAAUAACUGGGGUGAAGUCGUAACAAGGUAGCCGUAUCGGAAGGUGCGGCUGGAUCACCUCCUUU